rnacentral:lncRNA from 1 species
AUCAAGUUGUCGGUCAGAGCUGGGUUCUUGUACGAGGUCUCCUUUCAACCUCAUGUGGUUGUCAGACAACACUCAAUUCCUUGUAGUCGCAGGAUUUGUGGACUUGCUUCUUCAAAGCCAGCCACAGAGAAAGAACAGCAGGGAAGAUUGAGAAAGUCAGUCUCGUGUGAGUACACCAGUGGAACAUGCCCUUAUGCAACAUAACGUAUCACAGGAGUGAAGUCCGUUCACCUUUGAUAUACUUAUUGGUUAGAAGCAAGUGAUAAGUCCCAUUCAUAGUGAAGGAGAGGGAAUACUAGAAGGACAUGAACCCCAAAAGCCCCAGAGGCAGGAGUCAAGAGUCUGUCUUCCACAGUCACUGAGGCUGCAGACCAGAGUAGUGAUAAGAUGCUGAUAAGAACCUCCCUGGCUUUCUUACCUUCUCUCUCUCUUCAUCUUAUCCUAUACACCCACUCUUUUCUUACCUUGCACUCCCACCAACCCCGUAACACCAUGCAGCAGCUUCUGAUCUUUCCACAUUUCCCAGGGAUCCAUUUGCCAGGAAACAACACCAGAAGACUUUGCUGCUCACGGCUUUCCUGGAAGUCCGGGAGAAGGAAAGAAGGCCUUUGGAGGGCUCUGUGUGCAUCAGCAGAUACAUUUCUAGGGCCUCUGCCCCAGGGCCUAGUGUGGGAAUGGAUUAGCAGGUGAUGAGAAGAGGCAUGGCUAUGUUUAAACCUUCUCACCUAUCUAAUCUCUUAUUGACUGAGAAACAUCACAGGGAGGUGUCUGGUAGGAAUUAACACUAAUUCCUUCCCAACUCUUCAGUGUCCUGGCUCACCCACUGUCUCCUCUGCUGGAUGCUCCACGUGGGGAAGGACAUGUUUACUUUCCUUUCUGCCAUGAUUGAAAGUUUCCUGAAGCCUUCCCAGCCCUGUAGAACUGAAAAAGCACAAGGUUUAAGAAGGCCUGGAAGGGGAGACCUAGCAAGUUGCCAGUUGAGAAGAGUAAUGGUGUGACCUGGGUGACAGCCAGAUCAAGUUGUCUUAUCAGAGCAGCUGACAGAGAAAACAGCUGAACAGACUAAUCCAAAGCAAAGCCCUUACUGUUGCACUGCUAGCCAACCCAGGCAUACCCAAGUCAAUUAAUAAGCCUAAAGAUAAGGAGCAGGGUGAAAAUUUGGGCGCAAAUUGGAAGACAACUGGAGCAGGGCAGGAGGAAGAACAGAUUCCAUAGUGAUGGUUAUUCUGACCUGUGAUCUUUGUUGAACUGAACUGCUUUCUCUAGACACCAUUGUUACCAAAGGAAAUAACACGUUCUCAGUCUACCUUACUGCUUAUCGGUUGUGUGGGUCACAGGAAUUGGGGGUGAGGGACUGCUUUAAAGGAUCAGGAUCAGGGUGAACAAAAACUACUGAGGCUUCAGUGUCAGUUAUCCCAAAGCCCACAUCGAUUGUGUGAUUCUGUAAAUCCUAAACUAAAUAGGAGCAACCGUCUCUGAUAUUUAUUUUGUGCGACUGUCAACCUCAAAUGCCAUCCUGAAUUCUGUAUAUGACAGUCACCAGCCUGCCUGAUACCUCGUUGAUCGACUUUUCCCCAUGCUACCAAGCCAUGCCAGGUGGACAGAACAAUUCUCCAGGGAAGCCAAGAGCUAUCACUUCCUUUUUCUACCUAAUAUAUUUUGUCCCUGAUAAUCCAUUUGUCAUAUCUGACUUUCUCCUUCCUGCUGGCAGCAACCAGAGACCCUCUCAUUACACGACUGCCAGGUUUGCUUCAGCCUGAACUGCUGCAGAAUUAACUUGUCAUGUCCGCUCCACCAUGGGAACCUGUGGGGAGUCAGAGCCUCAAACAGCUGAAACACCGGAGGGAAAGAUUUCCUGCCUGUCUCACUUCCAUCUACAGCACCAUGGUGCACUCAUUAAGGCGUGGGUUGGAAGGUGCUAUAGACAGAUACGCGCACUGGGAGGAUGGAACCUGCUUUUGAACUUAAAACCAUGAAGACACGUGUUUGUAAGACAUUUUGCACCUUUCAAAAACAUUCUCAGAUGUGAACAGGCCAUAGGGAGGUGAUUAUUUCUCUUUUCACAGAGUUAGUUGCCAUGUUGCAGAGAAAUCUCUGAACUCUAAAUCAGGAGCAUCAGUUUAAGUAAUGUCUCUGCUACUAACCAAUUUAUCAAUCUAUGCAAAGUUACUUAACUUUUCCAAUCCGCAGCUUUUUCAGCUCCAAAAUGAAGGCAAUAAAACCAAUGUUAAAGGCACUUGAUUAAAUGAAGAUAUUAAAUGCUUUAUAAAUUUUGAAGUACUAUACACAUCGAUCCAUUAGGAUGAUUAUACUAUGAAAGCGCAGCUCAAGCUGCAAUGAAGCAUCAGAGAAGGCAGGUAGGGCAGUGGGUGCCCCGGAGUUCUGGUCUCUACUCCUUUUUCUCACUCUGUGGCCUGGGGUGAGUCAUUUAACUUUCUUGUGGAUCCAUUAUUUCAUUUAUAAAACGGAAAAUAAUAAAAACUAUUUUGAGAUUAAUUUUGAGGAUUACAUUAGAUAGUGCAGGUAAAGUAUUCUAGCACACAGGCUAGCAUACCAUAAACCUUCAACGAACAGUUCGCAUCAUCAUCAGUAUUAACUUCUGGUUAACUAAACAUCUGGACCAGAGUCCAUGAUUUCUGGUUUAGUGCUGCAGAAGUUUCUGUUAAUUUGAUGAACCUGACUUCAAACCACAGAAUAUUAGAACUAGGAGCACACGAUACCAUAGCUACCUUUCUGUUUCUACAGACAAGAGAUCUGGAGCUUACAUAAGAAAGCGAAUUGUUCAAGGUCAUAGAUGGAAUAGGAAAAGAGCUCAGACUUCAGCCCAGUUCUGGGCUCUCAGUCCAGUAUGCCUUCCACCAUCCCAUGGAGACAGAGACUCACAGAUCUUGGAACCGCAAAGACUGUGAGAGAUCAUCUAGCUCAUUCCAUCGCCCAUGGUGGAAGGAAGUCACAAUGCAGAGAAAGAAAAUGGCAUGGCAUGGUUACAUAGGGGCUGGAAGUCAUUUCAGUGUAUACAUAUCUUAACACACCAUACUGUACACCAUGAAUAUACCCAAUUUUUAUAUGUCAAUUAUGCUUUAAAGCUGGAAGAAAGGAGAAAAAAUAUAUAUAUGAUACACUUUGUCCGUCUGAUUCCAGAGCUUAAGGACAUAUUUACUCAGUUUCUAUUUUUCUCACUUGUGGAAACUCAGGCUUAGAGAGGCAAGUGAUUU